rnacentral:rRNA from 1 species
AGUGAACGCUGGCGGUAGGCCUAACACAUGCAAGUCGAACGGCAGCACAGUAAGAGCUUGCUCUUACGGGUGGCGAGUGGCGGACGGGUGAGGAAUACAUCGGAAUCUACUUUUUCGUGGGGGAUAACGUAGGGAAACUUACGCUAAUACCGCAUACGACCUACGGGUGAAAGCAGGGGAUCUUCGGACCUUGCGCGAUUGGAUGAGCCGAUGUCGGAUUAGCUAGUUGGCGGGGUAAAGGCCCACCAAGGCGACGAUCCGUAGCUGGUCUGAGAGGAUGAUCAGCCACACUGGAACUGAGACACGGUCCAGACUCCUACGGGAGGCAGCAGUGGGGAAUAUUGGACAAUGGGCGCAAGCCUGAUCCAGCCAUACCGCGUGGGUGAAGAAGGCCUUCGGGUUGUAAAGCCCUUUUGUUGGGAAAGAAAAGCAGCAGGUUAAUACCCCGCUGUUCUGACGGUACCCAAAGAAUAAGCACCGGCUAACCUCGUG